rnacentral:rRNA from 1 species
AUGGUCCAGGCCUGCACCCUAGAUGAGGGUAGCACGGCAGGGCCGGAGCUGAAUCUGACUGCGCCCCGGUCAUCCCUCACGACCGCGGCGGCGCAGGUAUUCCUCAACGAGGAGCGCGCGCGCGUGGAGCUGCAGCAGUCUCCUGGCGACACCGAUGCGGCCUGGUACCUCGACACCGGGGCGUCGAACCACAUGAUCGGUGACGCGUCGGCGUUCGCGGACCUGGACGAGUCCGUGACGGGAUCGGUCAAGUUCGGAGACGGGUCUCUCGUGGACAUAUGCGGGCGGGGCACGGUGCUAUUCGCCGUGGCAGGCGGUCACCACCGUGGCCUCACCAACGUCUACUGGAUACCGCGCCUCAAGAGCAGCAUCAUCAGCAUUGGGCAGUUGAACGAGGUUGGGUGCGCGACGCUGGUGGAGCACGGCACCAUGACGGUCCGCAAUCGUCAGAAAAACCUCCUCGCCAAGGUAACCCGUUCAGCUAAGCGCCUGUACCUUCUGCAUAUCAAGAUCGUGAAGCCGGCGUGUCUCGCCGCGAUCGAGUGCGACGGCGCAGGCUGGCGCUGGAACGAGAGAUUCGGCCACGUCCACUUCCAGGGCCUCGAGAGGAUGGCGCGCGCCGGCAUGGUCACCGGCCUCCCCCUCAUCGUCCACACGGAGCAGAUCUGCGACGCGUGCCUCGCUGGCAAGCAGAGACGGGCUUCGUUUCCCCAAGCUGCCAAGUAUCGCGCGUCGGAACCACUGGAACUGGUCCACGGCGACAUCUGCGGGCUGAUCUCGCCGGCGACACCGGGCGGGAAGCGCUACUUCCUCCUACUAGUGGACGACCACAGCCACUACACUUGGCUCGUUCUGCUGCGCUCCAAGGACGAGGCGGCCGAGGCGAUUUGCCGUUUCAAGGCCGCCACGGAGACCGAGUCUCGCCGCCCUCUGCGCACGUUCCGCACGGAUCGCAGAGGCGAGUUCACGAGCACGGUGUUCGCAGAGUACUGCACCGACCACGGCGUGCGGCGCCACCUGACGGCGCCCUACUCCCCGCAGCAGAACGGAGUGGUGGAGCGCCGCAACCUGACGGUUGUGGGCAUGGCAAGGAGUAUGCUCAAGGCCAGGGGCAUGCCGGCAUUCUUCUGGGGUGAGGAUGUCACUACUGCCGUGUUUCUGAUGAACAGGUCAUAUACAAGGAGCUUGAUCGGAAAGACACCAUUUGAGGCAUGGUAUGAUCGCAAACCAAACGUGCACUUCCUGUGCGUCUUCGGGUGCGUAGCUCACGUCAAGGACACGCGCCCACACCUGGCGAAGCUGGCAGACGGGAGCAAGGCAAUGGUGUUCGUCGGGUAUGAGCCGGGGGGCAAGGCCUACCGGACGUACGACCCUGUCACCAAGCGCGUGCACGUCACGCGCGACGUCGUUCCUCGACAAGGCCUUGUACGGCCUGAAACAGGCGCCGCGCGCCUGGAACUAGAAGCUGGACGCAUGCCUCGCAUCGCUUGGGUUCGAGCGCAGCACCACCGAGCAUGCCAUCUACGGGCGCGGCAACACCUCCUCUCGUCUCCUCGUGGGGGUGUACGUCGAUGA